rnacentral:tRNA from 1 species
GAAGAAGUACUCAAGUGGUUGAAGAGGAGGCCCUGCUAAGGCCUUAGGUCGGGUUUUUCCGGCGCGAGGGUUCAAAUCCCUCCUUCUUCGCCA